CUCAGCAGAGUCAAAGCCACAUCUAGCUCAGAGGACUCUGUGUUUCAGGGUCUCAUCUCUGGUCCUUUGCUGACGUCUCAUGUGUCCAGGCUAUCAUGGGUGGAGCCAUAGAGAAGCAAGGUCACAAGGUUUCAGCAAGGUCUUUCUCAACUUACUUAAAUUGUGGCUGGAAAGUGGAGGCCAUGCUGAGCCUCUGAAGGAGGACGGGGGAAGUUGUGACACAGCUCCAUCUGGCCCAUGAAACUGUGUGAAAGCAGGACACUUGGCUAUCCAGAACAUAUCAACUCAAGUAUGGAAAAAAAUCCAUAUCCAUAUAGAAAGAAAGACUGGAAGGAAAUACACCUGUAUAUGUUAUUAAUGGCUACUGAUCAACUGUGAGAUUUUGA